rnacentral:rRNA from 1 species
UACGUAGGGACCAAGCGUUGUUCGGAUUUACUGGGCGUAAAGGGCGCGUAGGCGGCGUGGUAAGUUACUUGUGAAAUCUCUGAGCUUAACUCAGAACGGUCAAGUGAUACUGCUGUGCUAGAGUGCGGAAGGGGCAAUCGGAAUUCUUGGUGUAGCGGUGAAAUGCGUAGAUAUCGGGAAGAACACCCGUGGCGAAGGCGGCACUCUGGGACGGUACUGACGCUGAGACGCGAAAGCGUGGGGAGCGAACAGG